UACGGAGGAUCCGAGCGUUAUCCGGAUUUAUUGGGUUUAAAGGGUGCGUAGGCGGCUUUAUAAGUCAGUGGUGAAAGACGGUGGCUCAACCAUCGCAGUGCCUUUGAUACUGUAGAGCUUGAAUGUAGUUGAAGUAUGCGGAAUGAGACAAGUAGCGGUGAAAUGCAUAGAUAUGUCUCAGAACACCGAUUGCGAAGGCAGCAUACUAAGUUAAUAUUGACGCUGAUGCACGAAAGCGUGGGGAUCGAAC
rnacentral:rRNA from 1 species